UUCUCACUUUAUGGGACCUAGACACAAAUGGUCUUGUAGCUGUAAUUGAAGAUACUCUUACAGUGAUUGUCUGAAUAUCAUUAUCUGAUUGUGUUGUGUGUGUAAAGUAGACAUUUGACGUGGAUCAUUGCUGAAAAAUGAUUGAUGGUUAUCAUACACAUUAAUUUGACGUGGAAGCUUACCAAAAGAGAUGAGGCCUUGGUGCAAAGCAAGAGUGCCAUAGAAAAAGUUGAAUUGUUGAAGAAACGAUGACCAAGAAAAGGAGGCAGUUGAUUGAUAAACAGCCCGAUGGCAGUAGUGGAGGUUAUUCGGGUGGGAUCCGUGAUCUUGAAACACAACUCAAGCUUUAUGGUACGGAUUCCAAAGAACUCAAGUGGAUUUUUCUUUUCUUUUCCUUUUUUCCUUUCUUUCUGGAAGAUGACUUUGAAAUGGCAUUUGGUUGUUUUGUUUCUUUGAAUUUGGCUCUCCAAUGCUAGAAAACGGUAACUUUCAUUUUGGGGUUUUAAAUUCCUAGGGCCUCAACUGCAGAAAUUCAAAACCCAAAUCCAAUUUUUGAUUUUUGGAUUCAAAAUUGUUUGGCAUUUAGAGAGCCAAAGUUUCUAUGGCCUAAACAUAGAUGACUUGACCUUUUGUU